rnacentral:lncRNA from 1 species
GGAUCACUUUAGAUGGCGGAAAUCCGGCAUCUAAAGCCCGCCAUACAAGGUCGGAUUUCUUGUAGUGAGAACAGCAGAAUACCACCAUUAAGGUUUCCACAAAUUCAAAAGCAAUAGUGCCACAUAACAACAAUAAACCAGUACACAUAGUAGAAUUAGAACCAUCUACAAAUCGUACUAAACCUACAACUAUCAAGAGAUUCUCAGCUCAAGAGAGG